AGCAGCCGCGGUAAUUCCAGCUCCAAUAGCGUAUAUUAAAGUUGUUGCAGUUAAAAAGCUCGUAGUUGAAUUUCGGGAUCAAGGAAUCGGUCAUGCCUUGGUAUGUACUGGUUUUAUUGGUUCUCACCUUCUAAAGAACCAUGAUGUCAUUCAUUUGAUGUUAUGGGGAAUUAGGACUGUUACCUUGAAAAAAUUAGAGUGUUUAAAGCAGGCUCACGCUUGAAUACAUUAGCAUGGAAUAAUGAAAUAGGACGUUCGAUCCUAUUUUGUUGGUUUCUAGGAUUGACGUAAUGAUUAAUAGGGAUAGUUGGGGGCAUUAGUAUUCAAUUGUCAGAGGUGAAAUUCUUGGAUUUAUUGAAGACUAACUACUGCGAAAGCAUUUGCCAAGGAUGUUUUCAUUAAUCAAAGA
rnacentral:rRNA from 1 species